AUUGAACGCUGGCGGCAGGCCUAACACAUGCAAGUCGAACGGUAACAGGAAGCAGCUUGCUGCUUCGCUGACGAGUGGCGGACGGGUGAGUAAUGUCUGGGAAGCUGCCUGAUGGAGGGGGAUAACUACUGGAAACGGUAGCUAAUACCGCAUAAUGUCGCAAGCCCAAAGAGGGGGACCUUCGGGCCUCUUGCCAUCGGAUGUGCCCAGAUGGGAUUAGCUUGUUGGGGGGGUAACGGCUCACCAAGGCGACGAUCCCUAGCUGGUCUGAGAGGAUGACCAGCCACACUGGAACUGAGACACGGUCCAGACUCCUACGGGAGGCAGCAGUGGGGAAUAUUGCACAAUGGGCGCAAGCCUGAUGCAGCCAUGCCGCGUGUAUGAAGAAGGCCUUCGGGUUGUAAAGUACUUUCAGCGGGGAGGAAGGGAGUAAAGUUAAUACCUUUGCUCAUUGACGUUACCCGCAGAAGAAGCACCGGCUAACUCCGUG
rnacentral:rRNA from 1 species